UCUUCAACAAGAUUUAAUAAGCUUCCAGUUGCUGAACUGUGGAAGUGCUGGAAGGGUGGUAUGCCCAGAGAGGACAUGGAAGCUGUGCACCACCCCACCUCAUACCUCGCCCUGGCCAUCUCUUCAUCUGGUGUUCAUCCCAAUAUCGCAGGCUGGGCACAGCGGCUCACACCUGAAAUCCCAGAACUUUGGGAGGCCGAGGCUGUAGAAUUGCUUGAGCCCAAGAGUUCAAGACCAGCCUGGACAACAGAGCAAGACCCUAUCUCUUUUAAAAAAUAAAUAAACAACAACAACAACAACAACAACAAAAAAAAAACCAAGGUUGAAAAUUGCAGCCAGUAAGAAAAAAAAGUAAAAAGCAGUAACUCAUAAA